rnacentral:lncRNA from 1 species
CGGAUAAAAUGACGGAUGAGGAGUUUACCGUCAUAGACAAAAGGACAAAAGCAAGUAUCAUUUUAAAUCUCUCAAAUGAGGUUUUACGUGAAGUUUCUGUAGAAAUCACAACCAAAGGUAUGCGGGAAAAAUUGAAAACCUAAUAUAUGAAGAGGACGGUGGAAAAUAGACUUUACCUGAAGCAAAAGCUUUAUACAAUUCGUAUGGGUGAAGGUACAAUUCGAGUCAGAAUGCACGAUGAUGUGGUGAGAACUCUCACCGAUGUUAGAUAUGUUCCUGAGUUGAAGAAAAAUCUCAUAUCUUUGGGCACUUUAGAAUCCCUUGGGUGCAAAUUCACUAGUGAAGGUGGAGUUUUAAAA